rnacentral:rRNA from 1 species
UGGGGAAUAUUGCACAAUGGGCGCAAGCCUAAUGCAGCCAUGCCGCGUGUAUGAAGAAGGCCUUCGGGUUGUAAAGUACUUUCAGCGAGGAGGAAGGCGGUAAGGUUAAUAACCUUAUCGAUUGACGUUACUCGCAGAAGAAGCACCGGCUAACUCCGUGCCAGCAGCCGCGGUAAUACGGAGGGUGCAAGCGUUAAUCGGAAUUACUGGGCGUAAAGCGCACGCAGGCGGUCUGUCAAGUCGGAUGUGAAAUCCCCGGGCUCAACCUGGGAACUGCAUUCGAAACUGGCAGGCUAGAGUCUUGUAGAGGGGGGUAGAAUUCCAGGUGUAGCGGUGAAAUGCGUAGAGAUCUGGAGGAAUACCGGUGGCGAAGGCGGCCCCCUGGACAAAGACUGACGCUCAGGUGCGAAAGCGUGGGGAGCAAACA